rnacentral:rRNA from 1 species
AUUGAACGCUGGCGGCAGGCCUAACACAUGCAAGUCGAACGCGUCGCGGACGUGUGUGUUAUGUCUGGGAAUCUGCCUGAUGGAGGGGUAUAACUACUGGAACCUGUCUCUUAUACCGCAUUCCAUCGUGUGCGCCCAGAUGGGAUUAGCUUGUAGGUGGGGUAAAGGCUCAUCUAGGCGACGAUCCCUAGCUGGUCUGAGAGGAUGACCAGCCACACUGGGACUGAGACACGGUCCAGACUCCUACGGGAGGCAGCAGUGGGGAAUAUUGCACAAUGGGCGCAAGCCCGAUGCAGCCAUGCCGCGUGUAUGAAGAAGGCCUUCGGGUUGUAAAGUACUUUCAGCGGGGAGGCGUUACCCGCAGAAGAAGCACCGGCUAACUCCGUGCCAGCAGCCGCGGUAAUAC